UACGUAGGGUGCGAGCGUUGUCCGGAAUUAUUGGGCGUAAAGAGCUCGUAGGCGGUUUGUUGCGUCGACUGUGAAAACCUGGGGCUUAACUCUGGGCUUGCAGUCGAUACGGGCAGACUUGAGUUCGGUAGGGGAGACUGGAAUUCCUGGUGUAGCGGUGAAAUGCGUAGAGAUGUGGAGGAACACCGAUGGCGAAGGCAGCCCCCUGGGCUAACACUGACGCUCAUGCACGAAAGCGUGGGGAGCAAACAGG
rnacentral:rRNA from 1 species